rnacentral:lncRNA from 1 species
AAAUUUCAGUAUUUACCUGAUGAUUGUUGGGAACUUAUAUUCAAAAACAUGCGCAUUGAUGAUGAAGACUACCACUCUCUCUCCCUCGUCUCCAAACAGUUUCUCUCCAUCACAAACCGUCUCCGGUUCUCUCUCACUAUCAAAGACUGUCAAACAAUCCAAGAAGCACUCAACCUCGUCCGAAGAUUCCCCAACCUCA